rnacentral:rRNA from 1 species
GACGAACGCUGGCGGCGUGCCUAAUACAUGCAAGUUGAGCGAUGAAGAUUGGUGCUUGCACCAAUUUGAAGAGCAGCGAACGGGUGAGUAACGCGUGGGGAAUCUGCCUUUGAGCGGGGGACAACAUUUGGAAACGAAUGCUAAUACCGCAUAACAACUUUAAACUUAAGUUUUAAGUUUGAAAGAUGCAAUUGCAUCACUCAAAGAUGAUCCCGCGUUGUAUUAGCUAGUUGGUGAGGUAAAGGCUCACCAAGGCGAUGAUACAUAGCCGACCUGAGAGGGUGAUCGGCCACAUUGGGACUGAGACACGGCCCAAACUCCUACGGGAGGCAGCAGUAGGGAAUCUUCGGCAAUAGACGAAAGUCUGACCGAGCAACGCCGCGUGAGUGAAGAAGGUUUUCGGAUCGUAAAACUCUGUUGGUAGAGAAGAACGUUGGUGAGAGCGGAAAGCUCAUCAAGUGACGGUAACUACCCAGAAAGGGACGGCUAACUACGUG